rnacentral:tRNA from 3 species
GCCCCGGUAGCUCAGAGGGGAGAGCGCCCGGCUGAAGACCGGGAUGUCGUGGGUUCAAGUCCCACCCGGGGCA